rnacentral:rRNA from 1 species
UACAGAGGGUGCAAGCGUUAUUCGGAUUUAUUGGGCGUAAAGCGCACGUAGGUGGUUUGAUAAGUUCGAUGUGAAAGCCCUGGGCUCAACUCAGGAAGUGCAUUGAAUACUGUUAGACUAGAGUACAGGAGAGGUGAGCGGAAUUCCAGGUGUAGAGGUGAAAUUCGUAGAUAUCUGGAGGAACAACAGAGGCGAAGGCGGCUCACUGGACUGUAACUGACACUGAGGUGCGAAAGCGUGGGGAGCAAACAGG